GACGAACGCUGGCGGCAUGCCUAAUACAUGCAAGUCGAGCGAACGGAUGAAGUGCUUGCACUUCUGACGUUAGCGGCGAACGGGUGAGUAACACGUAAGGAAUCUACCUAUAAGCGGGGGAUAACAUUCGGAAACGGGUGCUAAUACCGCAUAAUAUCUUCUUCCGCAUGGAAGGAGAUUGAAAGACGGCUCUGCUGUCACUUAUAGAUGACCUUGCGGUGCAUUAGUUAGUCGGUGGGGUAAUGGCCUACCAAGACGAUGAUGCAUAGCCGACCUGAGAGGGUGAUCGGCCACAUUGGGACUGAGACACGGCCCAAACUCCUACGGGAGGCAGCAGUAGGGAAUCUUCCGCAAUGGGCGAAAGCCUGACGGAGCAAUGCCGCGUGAGUGAAGAAGGCCUUCGGGUCGUAAAACUCUGUUAUAAGAGAAGAACAAAUUGUAGAGUAACUGCUACAGUCUUGGCGGUAUCUUAUCAGAAAGCCACGGCUAACUACGUGCCAGCCGCCGCGGUAA
rnacentral:rRNA from 1 species